rnacentral:snoRNA from 1 species
CUCCUCUCAGGGUGGCACUGGAGAGUUUCCAGUACUCUACCAGUCUUGGCUAUGGGAAGAAGAGUCAAGCAGAGGCAUAUCCAUUCCAUUCCUAGCUUGGUCAGUGGCUAGCGAAUGGAAGGCAAUCUGCUACAAGU